CCUACGGGAGGCAGCAGUGAGGAAUAUUGGUCAAUGGGCGCAAGCCUGAACCAGCCAAGUCGCGUGAGGGAUGACGGUCCUAUGGAUUGUAAACCUCUUUUGUCGGGGAGCAAGGCCCGCCACGUGUGGCGGGAAGGAGAGUACCCGAAGAAAAAGCAUCGGCUAACUCCGUGCCAGCAGCCGCGGUAAUACGGAGGAUGCGAGCGUUAUCCGGAUUGAUUGGGUUUAAAGGGUGCGUAGGCGGAAGGUUAAGUCAGCGGUCAAAUGUCGGUGCUCAACACCGGCCUGCCGUUGAAACUGGUCGUCGUGAGUGGGCGAGAGGUAUGCGGAAUGCGGGGGGGAGCGGUGAAAUGCGUAGAGA
rnacentral:rRNA from 1 species